GUGGGGAAUAUUGGACAAUGGGGGGAACCCUGAUCCAGCCAUGCCGCGUGUGUGAAGAAGGCCUUUUGGUUGUAAAGCACUUUAAGCGAGGAGGAGGCUACCGAGAUUAAUACUCUUGGAUAGUGGACGUUACUCGCAGAAUAAGCACCGGCUAACUCUGUGCCAGCAGCCGCGGUAAUACAGAGGGUGCAAGCGUUAAUCGGAUUUACUGGGCGUAAAGCGCGCGUAGGUGGCCAAUUAAGUCAAAUGUGAAAUCCCCGGGCUUAACUUGGGAAUUGCAUUCGAUACUGGUUGGCUAGAGUAUGGGAGAGGAUGGUAGAAUUCCAGGUGUAGCGGUGAAAUGCGUAGAGAUCUGGAGGAAUACCGAUGGCGAAGGCAGCCAUCUGGCCUAAUACUGACACUGAGGUGCGAAAGCAUGGGGAGCAAACAGGAUUAGAUACCCCUGUAGUCC
rnacentral:rRNA from 1 species